rnacentral:lncRNA from 1 species
UGAGAAAUGACAGCAUCAGCAAACUAAGUGUGUUAGGAAGGAUGAGAAUAUGAAAAGGGUGUAAAGAAGAAAAAUCAGAGACUUCUCAAGUUAAACUUCUCUAUCAAGGAGGUGGGCUUGACUUACGUCACAAGAUUUGUUUGUUUGACUGAUCUAAAAUAAACAAAGCAUGGGGGAUGCUUGUGGAUUAUCUAAAGGCAGUAGUAUAAAUACACAGCAAAUAUGUGUUUUUCCUGAAAUUCUUUUUCCUUCUGCCUUAAGCAUUUUACUGCCUGGCAAUAAGUUGUCAAGCCCUAGUCCUUCCUAGCAGCCCCUUUUGUUCCUCUGCUUAAGAAUGAAACACGGUAUCUUGAACGCCCAGAGCGUGAAGAAGCUAAUCAUUGGCUCGCAUUGUGGCCAGCAGGGCAGGCCCGCCUCUUUGGCUUGUGCUGACAAGCUGCUUAUGUUUGUGCAAGGCCGCCCUUCAACAGAGCGGCCUGCUGGCCGUAAGGGGACUAACUGUCUGAAUGCUGCUCCUGCCAGGACUCUAUGGAACUGCAUUAAUGUUACCGUAAGAGAGAAUCAUCAGCUGUUUGAGUCUCACCAGAAAAGUGAACUGUCAGGUAAAAGAAAAAAUAUCUAAGUGCCUGAAAGAAGAAGUGGCAGCUUUCUGCCAGGUAUGGGUAGAUUUCCAUGUAAAAUCUCUCACCAUCACUACUCAGGUAUCUCUAUCCACUGGGAUAGCGGCAGGGGUUUGCAAACAGUCCCUCCUCAGCUUCCAUGGAUAUAUUGUCCUCUCUCUUAAAUCUGAACCCUCUGACUAAUAUUCUCCUUGCUAACAUCAAGGAUAUUAGCAGCCCUGAGAAGAAGGGUUUGGGGUUGUGGAUUGAUGAAAGACUCAUCAUGAGCUGGCAGUGUGCACUUGCAGCCCGGAAGGCCAAAUGUAUCCUAGGCUGCAUCAAGAGAAGUGUGACCAGCAGGGUGAAGGGAGUGAUUCUGCCCCGCUACUCUGCUCUCAUGAGACCCCACCUGGAGUACUGCUUCCAGUUCUGGGGACCCCAACAAAAGGAGACAUAGAGAUGUUGGAGUGGGUCCAGAGAAGGGCCAUGAAGAUGAUCAGAGGGCUAGAGCACCUUCCCUAUGAGGACAGACUGAGAGAGCAAAGGCUCUUCGGCCAGGAGAAGAGAAGGUUCUGGAGAGACCUUAUAGUGGCCUUCCAAUACCUGAAGCAGGCCUACAGGAAAGCUGGGGAAGGACUUUUUACAAGGGCAUGUAGCAAUGUGAUGAGGGGAAAUGGCUUUAAAUUGAAAGAGAGUCGGUUUAGACUAGAUAUUAGGAAGAAAUUUCCUGUGAGGAUGGUGAGACACUGGAACAGGUUGCCUAGGGAGUUUGUGGAUACCUCCUUCCUGGAAGCAUUCAAGGCCAGGCUGGAUGGGGCUGUGGGCUAGUGGGAGGUGUCCCUGACUAUAGCAGGGGGGCUGGAACUUGCUUUUAAAAAGGUCCCUUCCAACCCAAAUGAUUCUGUGAUUCCAUGAAUAUUCUCAACCUGCACCCACAGCUGUGAAAGCUUGUAACAUCUUUAAUUGUAUUUCUUUUUCAGUCUGUUUUCCUAGAUAUUAGAUCCAUUUCUAGGUAAGGAAUGUUGUUGCCGCUAAAGUUACAUGGUCAUAUAAAAUGAAAACUAUGGCAGGCAU